rnacentral:rRNA from 1 species
GACGAACGCUGGCGGCGUGCUUAACACCUGCAAGUCGAACGAUGAAGCCGGAGCUUGCUCUGGUGAAUUAGUGGCGAACGGGUGAGUAACACGUGAGUAACCUGCCCUUGACUCUGGGAUAACUGCGGGAAACUGUAGCUAAUACCGGAUACGACCCUCGGAGGCAUCUCCUGGGGGUGGAAAGAAUUUCGGUCAAGGAUGGACUCGCGGCCUAUCAGCUAGUUGGUGAGGUAAAGGCUCACCAAAGCGAUGACGGGUAGCCGGCCUGAGAGGGUGACCGGCCACACUGGGACUGCGACACGGCCCAGACACCUACGGGAGGCAGCAGUGGGGAAUAUUGCACAAUGGGCGCAAGCCUGAUGUAGCAACGCCGCGUGAGGGAUGACGGCCUUCGGGUUGUAAACCUCUUUUAGCAGGGAAGAAGCGAAAGUGACGGUACCUGCAGAAAAAGCACCGGCUAACUACGUGCCAGCAGCCGCGGUA